rnacentral:rRNA from 1 species
GACAGAGGGUGCAAACGUUGUUCGGAAUUACUGGGCGUAAAGCGCGCAGGCGGUCUUCCAAGUCAGUGGUGAAAGCCCGGAGCUCAACUCCGGAACUGCCAUUGAAACUGUUAGACUUGAAGAUGAGAGAGGUGAGUGGAAUUCCCAGUGUAGAGGUGAAAUUCGUAGAUAUUGGGAAGAACACCGGUGGCGAAGGCGGCUCACUGGCUCAUAUCUGACGCUCAGGCGCGACAGCGUGGGGAUCAAACAGG